rnacentral:rRNA from 1 species
GAUGAACGCUAGCGGGAGGCUUAACACAUGCAAGUCGAGGGGUAACAUGAGGUAGCAAUACUUUGAUGACGACCGGCGCACGGGUGAGUAACGCGUAUGUAACCUACCUUGUACAGGGGGAUAGCCCGGAGAAAUUCGGAUUAAUACCCCAUAAUGAUAUCUGAAGGCAUCUUUAGAUAUUUAAAGUUUCGACGGUACGAGAUGGGCAUGCGUGACAUUAGCUAGUUGGUAAGGUAACGGCUUACCAAGGCUGCGAUGUCUAGGGUUCCUGAGAGGGUGAUCCCCCACACUGGUACUGAGACACGGACCAGACUCCUACGGGAGGCAGCAGUGAGGAAUAUUGGUCAAUGGGCGUAAGCCUGAACCAGCCAUCCCGCGUGAAGGAAGAAGGCGCUAUGCGUCGUAAACUUCUUUUCCGGAGGAAUAAAAUUUCGUACGUGUACGGGACUGAAGGUACUCCGGGAAUAAGCAUCGGCUAACUCCGUGCCAGCAGCCGCCGUAACAC